GAGUAAUGUCUGGGAAACUGCCUGAUGGAGGGGGAUAACUACUGGAAACGGUGGCUAAUACCGCAUAACGUCGCAAGACCAAAGAGGGGGACCUUCGGGCCUCUUGCCAUCAGAUGUGCCCAGAUGGGAUUAGCUUGUUGGUGAGGUAACGGCUCACCAAGGCGACGAUCCCUAGCUGGUCUGAGAGGAUGACCAGCCACACUGGAACUGAGACACGGUCCAGACUCCUACGGGAGGCAGCAGUGGGGAAUAUUGCACAAUGGGCGCAAGCCUGAUGCAGCCAUGCCGCGUGUAUGAAGAAGGCCUUCGGGUUGUAAAGUACUUUCAGCGGGGAGGAAGGUGUUGUGGUUAAUAACCGCAGCAAUUGACGUUACCCGCAGAAGAAGCACCGGCUAACUCCGUGCCAGCAGCCGCGGUAAUACGGAGGGUGCAAGCGUUAAUCGGAAUUACUGGGCGUAAAGCGCACGCAGGCGGUCUGUCAAGUCGGAUGUGAAAUCCCCGGGCUCAACCUGG
rnacentral:rRNA from 1 species